GGCGGGGCCACGGCCCGGAGCCCGACUCGCCCUUCCGCCGGAGUCCGCCCCGCGGUCCCGCCUCCCCCCAGCGCUGACCUCAGCGCGGGGACCCCUGGCCACCCCCGACAGGCCAUCGCCAAGGUGCCGAUCGACGGAUCGGGACGUCGGCUGGAGGGACGGCGUCACCGACGCAGAUGAACAGACUGACGGACCCCAGGAAGAGACUGUCGGGGGGCCGGGGGCCCGGUAAAGGAGGCUGAGCUCCUCCCAGCCUCUACUGUAUAGACCUGGACUCCUGGAUUCUGCUCCUUCCCUGGGCACUUCCUUCAGGAAGACGUCUCACCACCUUCCGCGAUCGAAUUGAUCCCACACAACCUUGGCACCAUCUUUACUUCACAGGAGCCUUGCACUUAACUGUGGCAAGGUGCUUGAUUCUGGGGAAGGUGCCUGUACUCUUGAGUUUCCUUAUAUAAGCUCCAUUUGCCUUUGGCCGACACUGUAUGAUUGGAAAUGUUACAACAGGUCCUCUGAGAUGCAAUCAGAUUGAAGGAAGCAGCAAAUGUUUCCAAUGUGAAAAUGAAAAGGAUUUCUUUUAAAAUAUAGUCAUCGUUCAUAAGUCACAGUGCAGCUGGGGUCCCCAAUUUGGUCGAUGCCGUUGGUUCUCAGUCUGACAGGAUGUGAGGGCGAUCUGGCUGCGACAUCUGUCACCCCAUUGAUCGCCAGGGUUGAUUCGGCUGAUCUGGCUGGCUAGGCGGGUGUCCCCUUCCUCCCUCACCGCUCCAUGUGCAUCCCACCCGGAAGCUGUGCGCUCGGUCGAAGAGGACGACCAUCCCCGAUAGAGGAGGACAGUUCUUCGGUCAAGGGUAUACGAGCAGCUGCGCUCCCCUGCUAGAACCUCCAAACAAGCUCUGUCUGACAAAGCUGCGAGGCCUGUUUGAGGGGAAACAUUGGUCUGAGAAAUCCCUGUUUCCCUCACCCACUGUCCUUGCCCUCUCUGACUAGGGGUGUGCCUGUGGCCCCACCCAGAAAGAUGAUCAGCUGCUGGCUCUGAGCUGGGGGGGGGCACCUCUUUCUCAGGAAGAGGUGGUGGCAACAUAAAAAUUCUAAGCAAAGUUUUAAAUGAAAAAAGGGAGCAUAUUUAUUCAAGUAUCCUGAUAAUGAAGGGGGGGGGGCGCACUUACAACUAAGAGCUUGUAGAAUUCUGCAAAAUGAAUGUAUAUUGAACCAAUCCCCUGAUUUAUACAUUCAGGAAGAAUAAAUUUCAAUCAUGUGAGACAGAG